rnacentral:rRNA from 1 species
GAUGAACGCUGGCGGCGUGCUUAACACAUGCCAGUCGAACGGAAAGGCUCCUGCUUGCAGGGGUACUCGAGUGGCGAACGGGUGAGUAACACGUGGGUGAUCUGCCCUGCACUUCGGGAUAAGCCUGGGAAACUGGGUCUAAUACCGGAUAGGACGAUGGUUUGGAUGCCAUUGUGGAAAGUUUUUCGGUGUGGGAUGAGCUCGCGGCCUAUCAGCUUGUUGGUGGGGUAAUGGCCUACCAAGGCGUCGACGGGUAGCCGGCCUGAGAGGGUGUACGGCCACAUUGGGACUGAGAUACGGCCCAGACUCCUACGGGAGGCAGCAGUGGGGAAUAUUGCACAAUGGGCGGAAGCCUGAUGCAGCGACGCCGCGUGGGGGAUGACGGCCUUCGGGUUGUAAACUCCUUUCGCUAGGGACGAAGCGCAAGUGACGGUACCUGGAGAAGAAGUACCGGCUAACUACGUG